ensembl:lncRNA
AGUGCAUAUGAGAGCAUGAGGGUGGGAAUGGAUGUUUGUGUCUGUGUGUGCCUGUAUUUCUGUGUCUAUAUGUCAGGUUGGGUGUCAGGCGCCACCUCUCUGGGGACAUCUCAGGCCCGCCAAGGUUUGGAGGCCUAUCUCCCCCCACCACCACUUCCCCUGCCAGUGGCGGACUCCCUCAGACAUCGGUGCGUUGGUGGUUCUUUGUGUCCGGGGAUGGGCGUCCAGGUACACACCGGCUCACUCCUUGGCGGCCGCUUAUCGGGGCCUGGAGCCUGGGGCUUGCUCGGGCCACUUCGGAGGUGGGGUGCCCCCGGCCUCUCGGCCUGGGGCUCGGUCACUCAGGCACGGCUGGCUGCCGGCGGAGCUCACGGGCGCGUCACUGCAACUCCCCCUGGCUUCUGCUCCGCGGCUGCUGAGUGAGCCCUCAUCUGGGACUCUCCUCAGCUCUUUCUGGGACAGUGGCGCGGCUGCCCCUCUGUUGGUCUUCCUUGGUCUCUUGUGUUCUGGGGGCCUCUGGAUGUCUGGAGUUUUGAUCUCCUCCAUACCUGCUUCAUGCCCUGGAGGACGGGGCUGUGGCCCCCCCACACCCUCUAGCAGAUCAUUACAUGAAGGAACCUUUUAAAAAACAAAAAACAAGCGCGUCCAUGCUCACAGGUGUACACACGGGUGAUCACACCCACAAACUACACCCUUUUUGGCUCCUACCUCAAAGCACACUGUGUUCUGUUGAUCUUAUGUGCUGCACAAUAAUGUUUAAUAUUUAGUAUUUACUGUCAUAUUCCCAUAUAUCAUUGUGAUGUUGUUUAUUCUAUUACUCUUGUUCUCUUCUGCUUGCUUUCUUUUUUCUUUCUCAGCAGGUGAUCCAGGUGAUUGAUAUAUGCAUUUUUUUUCUUUUUUUUUUCUGCUCAUUCUGUUGGUUUAUGUUUUUUGCCCUUCUCCCCCGUCCCUCUUCUCAGCUGUUUCUCUUUCCUUCUUUCUUUCUCCCCUUCUUUCCCCCAGUCAAGUCUGUCCCGUAUUCAGUAAGUGAAAAUAAAAUAAACAAUAAAAGGUGAAUCAAAUGGACCAUUACGGCAAGGCUGGGAUGGUCAAUUUGGUAAAGUAAAUCCGUUGGGCAUCUUUCUUUGCCUUUAGACAACAAUUCUGAUGGCAAAAGAGCUAAACGGGACAGGCAAAAAAAAAAAAAAAAAAAGAGCACAUGGAUGAUACAGCGGAUUGGGA